UACGAAGGGGGCUAGCGUUGCUCGGAAUCACUGGGCGUAAAGGGUGCGUAGGCGGGUCUUUAAGUCAGGGGUGAAAUCCUGGAGCUCAACUCCAGAACUGCCUUUGAUACUGAAGAUCUUGAGUUCGGGAGAGGUGAGUGGAACUGCGAGUGUAGAGGUGAAAUUCGUAGAUAUUUGGAAGAACACCAGUGGCGAAGGCGGCUCACUGGACCGGUAUUGACGCUGAGGUGCGAAAGCGUGGGGAGCAAACAGG
rnacentral:rRNA from 1 species